CCAGGCUGGGCUGGGCGAGUAUCUCUUCGAGAGGCUCACUCUCAAGCACGACUAGGAGC
rnacentral:pre_miRNA from 1 species